rnacentral:lncRNA from 1 species
GGAUCAGAAUAAUUCUACUCUAACUCAUCAAGGAUUGUCGAUCCAGAAUAAUCCUAGUGAGCUCUCACAAUUCAUCAGUGACACCUAACAGUAUAUAGUGACAAUCCAGUAGAAUUAAAAUAAAUCUCUAGGUAUAGUUAAUGUGUGAUUCAAUCUCUCUAUCAUAAAUUUCGACGAGAUAGCAGGUCAUGGAUAAAUCGUCAAAUCUCAACAUCAGUUAUAUGAUAGAUUCGAUCAGCUCAAGUCUAAUUGUGAUUUCUAUAAAAAAAUUUUUCCAUCUAUCACACUACUAUGGCUAUAGAUUCUCGAACUUAGCCUCUCAAAUCUCAUA